GAUGAACGCUAGCUACAGGCUUAACACAUGCAAGUCGAGGGGCAGCAUGAUCUUAGCUUGCUAAGAUUGAUGGCGACCGGCGCACGGGUGAGUAACGCGUAUCCAACCUGCCCAUGGGUCAGGGAUAAACUCCCGAAAGGGAGCCUAAUACCUGAUGUUGUGAGAAGAAGGCCUCUGAUUUUCACGAAAGACUUCGGUCGCCGAUGGAUGGGGAUGCGUACGAUUAGGCAGCAGGCGGGGUAACGGCCCACCUGGCCUACGAUCGUUAGGGGUUCUGAGAGGAAGGUCCCCCACACUGGUACUGAGACACGGACCAGACUCC
rnacentral:rRNA from 1 species